rnacentral:lncRNA from 1 species
CAUGCAUUUAUAUGACAUGUUCAAAGAGUACUUAAUUGCAUUUUUUUUCAUUUAGUCUCACACCAACCCCAGGAGGAAGUAAAUCAUUAUAUUUUAUUUGUUCAACUUGUUAGGUCUGUUGUUGCAGUUCAUAAUUGAUUUUUCAAGUGCAAGUUAUAGGCCUUUAAUUUGGAUGCUUUCGUGACUCAGUUAUGUUUCUUCAUUCUGCAAUACCAGCAUAAGACAGUGCCUAAGUAUAUGUAAACAGAUGAUGAAGUCUCCUGCAAUGUUACUGAUCUCCAUCAAGAACCGAAGGGACAACUACACAUUUUCCAAUGAAACAUAAUUCAUUCAGGGAUUUUUACCAUUUCAUCUUGUCUGUAAAAUGAAAAACCAAGAUCAAAAGGGGCAGCAAAGUAGCUUGAAUGAAAGCCCUAAGGUAGAAAUACCAAGAAACAGCAGGAACUGGCAACAGGAAGCCAUUGGUGUUCCAUAGAUAUCACACUGAGCUCGAGUCAGAGGUGUCCAGAGGAAGGUGCUUCAGCAAAUGAUAAUAUCAUGAACUGAUCCUGUGGCAUUGUGGAGUUGAUGUUCAACUUUCAAGCUAAGAUUCCGGCAAGACUAAGCCGUGUCAUUUCAGUUGCCUUCAGUUCCCACUGGUCUUUUUGAAAACCUGUUGAAUCAUCAAGUCAGCAGAAAUUAUUAGCUUAACUUUCUGCCCUGUAACUUCAAAUUGUAUAGAGAUACAGUCAAGAGCAAGAAAUAAAAAUGACACAAGAGAAAAAGAAAUUAAGUAAAGCAAUGAAAAGUGAAACUCAGUGAGCAAAAUAAUCAGCCCUAAUAUAAAUAUGUGCAUAGAGCAGUUUAGCCAAUUCUGUUUUGGAUGAAUCAGUUGGGUUAACAUAACCACGGUGACAGAAAAAGCACAUACACCUACAACGAAUAAUCUAGGCAACCGAAGAAAUAAGGCAUAAACAAACUUUAGCAGUGGCCUCUGCAUCUUUUUCAUAUUUGUAUUUUAAUAAUUUUAGAAUUUGAAAUUUAAGAUCUAAGGCAUUUCUCUAGCUACUAAUACACUCCAGAAUGUUCCUUUCCACAU